AGAAGCAUAUCUUGUUUCAAAAAUUCUUUUGUUCGAUUUUUUGAAACGUUCUGUCAUAGAAAUAAUCAUGUUUUGUAAACAGCUUACUUAUUUAAAUAUACUGAAUUCGUGAAAGGACUUUGCUGGCUUUAAAAUGAACUGAAAGAUCUGGAAAAAUGGCAAGUGAACCGUUUGUUGUGAAUGACAUCAACUUAUUUCUUUUGCACGUUAGACAAGGACGUGUCAAGGAAUGUGAAAGUUUCCUUAAAGCAUACCCUUAUAUGCUAAAUCAAUGGAAACUUACAGUGAAACGACUCUUCACAUAGCCACUACAAAUCCGGAAGAAUCCGAAGUUGCUCAUUUCAUCCUUCGUUCGGGAGCAGAUGUAAGCGUAAUUAUUGGAUCCAAACACCUUUGCAUUAUGCUCCCCAAUCUAACAAUAUAAACACAAUGAAGCCUCUACUAAGAGCACGUGGAACUGAUGUCAACUGCAAGGACGUAAAUGGGUACACUCCACUGCACGUGUUCGUGCUUCUAACGACAAAAUCAGUGACAAUUGGAUCGAAGGACUCAAACUCCUUGUUGAAGCAAAUGCAGAUAUAAAUGCUAAAACAAAUUACGGUCAAAGUGUUCUUCACCUUGCAGCAUCUACACAGCAUGGCGCGGAGUUUCUUGUUCAUUUAUUGAAACACAUUCCUGAUAUAGUGUGGACUGCGACAAAUUCUUCGGAAGAAAAUGCCCUUCAUAUCCUGUUUAAGAAUACAAGAUGCGAAAACAACAUGUAUAUUCUAUUUGAAAUAGACCUGCAUUUCAGAGAUAAGACACUUCUUAAGGAGAUUCUUAAUUACAGAGAUUUACUUGGAACCACACCGGGGUAUGAUAGAUAAGCGCACGGAAAACGUCAAGAAAAUUGUUGAAAUAUACGGCGUUUCUAUUAAUUUUACAGACAACUUCGGAAACACUGCUCUUCAUAGAGUUGUUGGAAGAGAUGGGGUCAGUUUCCUUUGUAAUAAUAUUGACAUUCUUCUAAAGAAUAACAUCGAUGUUAAUUUGCGGAAUGUAUUUGGUCAAGCCGCUAUCUUCGUUCUGUUUGUCAAGGAGAUCUUUGACCUUAUUGAAAGCAAUGCUGACCUUGAAAGUCCAGACAGAUGAGGACGAAAGCCUUUUGUAGUUAUUCUUAACCGAAAUCCGAUGCCAAAAUUGGUUGAGAGAAUGUUAAAGAGAAACUUUGGGGUCACCAGUUCAAAGGUCAAGGUCACAGGGGCAAAUGUUAACUUUUGGCAUGAUGGCUCUUUACUCGUGAACCACUACACCCAGGACCUUCAAACCUCACAUGCUGAUAGUACUUAUUGAGUACACGACUCCUACUGACUUUAGGUCAAAGGUCAAGGUCACAGGAACCAAUGUUGUACCAAGGUUUAUCUUUUGGCUAUUUUAAUAGCGCAUAAAAUUUUGGAAAACACUGCUUUGCAAGUUCCAUAAAUUUAUUUGUAGAAACAGAGCAAGACUCAUCUACACUAUUAUUUUGUAUAAAUGUCCAAUCUGUAUUUCUAAUUACAGUAAUAAGUUUAUCAAAGUCGGCUUUUUUUAUAAUUCCAGACUCUUCUUUUGAAAGGUUUGUUAGAAUCGAAAUCAACUUUGAGGUAAACAUAGGUUCCGAAAUGGUCACUAAUUUCACUUUUUGCUUCAAAAGUACCCGAGUAAAAAACACGGAUAUUAUUUGUUACUGCAAUUGGAUCUUGUUAAGUUUGAGUAUUUUGCGUAUUUUUGGUGGUGUACUAAUAAUUUUGGUCAUGUUAUUUACUAAAAGUACGUCUUUAAGUUUAAGAUUAUUUAUAUUCUAUUAAUUGAUCUUUAUUUAUAUCUCAAACAAUUAUUACCUGCUGCCUUAAUUCUAAUGCCAUUUCAAGAAAACUGUUCAAUUUAUCCCAAAAAUCGGCCUUAUAUGAGGUGGUCUAUAUAUUGAACAUAAUGAAUAAGAUUGUUUUCAUCUCUAAUUUCCACGCAAACUGAUUUUGGAAGUAUACUUUCUAAGUUACAUAAUCUUUUAGGCCUUAAGAAUGCGGAUAUAUAAACUAGAAAGCCCCCUGAAUGACACGAAUAGAAUUAUCCUUCCUGAACAUAUAUUCAAAGCCGGUAACUGUAGAAUUGUAUCAUGUAUAUUUGAAUCCAGUUUAGUUUCAGUGAAGCAUAUGAUAUCCAUUUCUAAAAAAGUUUUCUGUGAUGAAAUCAAAUUUAUUCCGAUUAUUUUGAUGGAAUACUGAAAGGUAGUGUUCUUUACAAUAAGAGGACCCGGAUUACUUUCAACAUCAGCAGACAUACUUAUUAAGUACACAAUGUGUAACAAAUAGUUCAUAUUCAAGAGAUCAUUUAACAUUAUAGAAUGAUUAUUUAUAUAACUAACAAGAAUGAUUCUGUUUGAUGAAUUUUGUACGUGGCCUAUAAGUAAUAUGUAUUAGCGGUCGCGGUUAAGGUCGCUGGCUUCAAAUCACUUGCCCCUCAUCGAUGCGGGUUCGAGCCUCACUCGGGGCGUUGAAUUCUUCAUGUAAGGAAGCCAUCCAGCUGGCUUACGGAAGGUCGGUGGUUCUACCCAGCCAGGUGCCCGCUCGUGAUGAAAUAAUGCAAGGAGGGGCACCUGGGGUCUUCUUCCACCACCAAAGUUGGAAAGUCGCCAUAUGACCUGUAAUUGUGUCGGUGCGACGUUAAACCCAACAAAAUAAAUAAUCAAAGUACUGAGAGGACUGAUGGGGGCAAUGCUUUGCAGUUUAAAUGACUUGAUGUAACCCAUUCAUGUCAGGGAAGUACAUACAGGCAUUAUGUAAUGCACUUGUGUGUGGCAAGAAAUGGAGUGAUCACAACUUUAACAGUGCACAACAAUAAAAAUUAUUAACUUUGUGUUCAAUACACUUCUAUAUUUUGUUCAAAAGGUAAAGAUAAAAAAUCUAGUCUUAUCCAAUAGCAGUUGUUCAUCGACAAACAAAAACCUUUCAUUGCCAGGUUUGAUAAAAUGAAAAGAUAAAGCUAGACAAUGUAUUUCAAUCUCUUCAAUACUUCUGUUUGCACUCUAUAUCCUGACAUCAUGUGUUCUUGACAGUCUAACAGAAACAGGUAAACUUUGUAACACUUUAUGAAAGUUUGGAAAGAAAGUCAAAAUAUUUCAAUAUGUGAAAGUUUAAAGGAACAGGAUUUCCGUGAACUGACAUUGAAAAAAAUCUAGGCUAUGUUUUCUAAUGUGUACAAUACUUAUCAAUUAAAAAGGUCAAGGAAUGUUUUUUUUUUUGUUACAAAUAAGCAUCAUUUUAAUAAGGAGUCGUCAUUAGUUAACACACAAACACCUGUAAAAAUAUUUUUAUAGAUUUUUUUUCCAUUCCAGCUAUUGCUAAAAUUCAGUAACUGUUUUCUUAAAAAUACACAUGAUAUAUGAUCAUAUUAUUAUCCAUAUUGUUUGUUAUACUUGUUGAUCAAAAUAACAUUGUCUGUUUCAAUUUUAAGUUAUUUAAUAUACACUUGUAUUUCAAACUAUCAUUAUCAUAAUAUAAGAAAUACAUUAAACACUAUGAAAACGGUGAUUCGUCAUAUCAAUGAACCUACCGAACUGGCGUAUACAGUUAGGUUCCAGUAAAUUAGGAUACGAAACGCCCGUGGAAAAAGAACAAGAUUUCUGGUGGUUCUGCCUUCGAAUAUCACCAUCAGAAAAUAUUUGCACCCUCAGAUAGAUGA